rnacentral:lncRNA from 1 species
AAUCCUACCCAGAUCAGCAUUCACCAUCUUAGAUCGAGGCAGUACGUACCCUUUCUUCUUCUCAGAAGGCUUAUCAAAUGACCCGUAAAUCGUAUCCAGCUUCUCGUAAGCCGAUUUGGUCCAAAUAAUGAACCUUCCAAGGUGACCACCAGGUGCCAGUUUCAACAGAUUAAGCCUCUCCACGUUGGCAACCUCCACUCCAGGAAUGUUACGGAAGGCUUUAACAAGCUUAGCUCCCUCAGUUCCGUAAACAAUCAAAGGACCUUUACGGGAAAUGUACCUCCGAUUCCUCAUUUUUCCUUUUCCGGGUCGGAUUCCUUGGCUGUCCUUAGCCUUUUCAACAUCAGGAUAUGCUCCGAUCUGUUUCAAAACCUUGAUUGCACCCGAGGUUUUCUCAACGCUCUCAACAGCGUCAGAAAUGACCAGCGGCAUCUCCGGUACAGCCUCAAUGCGGUGGCCACGUGCCAUGACGAGGGAAGGAACAGCGGAGGCGGCGAUGGCAGAAGCAACGGCGUAACGCUUCUGGUUAACGUUGAUUUUCCGGUGCCAGCGGCGCCAGAUCUUGGUAGGAGCAAACAUGCGUCCACCGCGACACAUGUUUCCGAAAGCACCUUGGCCUGCAC